UGCAGUCGAACGAUGAUCUCCAGCUUGCUGGGGGGAUUAGUGGCGAACGGGUGAGUAACACGUGAGUAACCUGCCCUUAACUCUGGGAUAAGCCUGGGAAACUGGGUCUAAUACCGGAUAUGACUCCUCAUCGCAUGGUGGGGGGUGGAAAGCUUUUGUGGUUUUGGAUGGACUCGCGGCCUAUCAGCUUGUUGGUGAGGUAAUGGCUCACCAAGGCGACGACGGGUAGCCGGCCUGAGAGGGUGACCGGCCACACUGGGACUGAGACACGGCCCAGACUCCUACGGGAGGCAGCAGUGGGGAAUAUUGCACAAUGGGCGCAAGCCUGAUGCAGCGACGCCGCGUGAGGGAUGACGGCCUUCGGGUUGUAAACCUCUUUCAGUAGGGAAGAAGCGAAAGUGACGGUACCUGCAGAAGAAGCGCCGGCUAACUACGUGCCAGCAGCCGCGGUAAUACGUAGGGCGCAAGCGUUAUCCGGAAUUAUUGGGCGUAAAGAGCUCGUAGGCGGUUUGUCGCGUCUGCCGUGAAAGUCCGGGGCUC
rnacentral:rRNA from 1 species